CCAACACAUAAGCCGACGUCGGAUUAUGCAAAAGGGAGAGAGCGCGUCGAGCGACGGGGGUACUCACGUCAAAGUUCCAGUAGGACUGAAAUGGGCAUAUCAUCAAGUUCAAGUGAAAGCAGUUGGCCGGAAUAUUGUGAUAAAACAAUUUCCAUGAGCCCCAAUUCUGAACCAUCUAUGCCAUCAAGAAAAACUGCGACUGCAGGCAAAAAGAAAAAUUCUAAGUUUAUGGAUGCAUCAAGAGGCCUAAAU